rnacentral:RNase_P_RNA from 1 species
UGAGUCGGCCGGGUGACCGCGGCCGCCCGAACCGCCGCGCAUGCGGGCUGGCGGGUGGCCGAGGAAAGUCCGGACUCCACAGGGCACGGUGGUUGCUAACGGCAACCCGGAGUGAUCCGCGGGAAAGUGCAACAGAAAGUAGACCGCCUCGCGCUAGUCGCGGGGUAAGGGUGAAAGGGUGCGGUAAGAGCGCACCGGCGCUGGUGGUGACAUCGGCGGCCAGGUAAACCCCACCGGGAGCAAGGCAAGAACCGCUGCGCGUGCGCAGGGGUCGUCGGACGCGAUGAGGCUGCCCGCCCAUGUCCGAAGGUAGCUGCUUGAGGCACCCAGCGAUGGGUGGCCCAGAUGGAUGGUCACCGCCCCGUCCGGGGCACAGAAUCCGGCUCAUAGGCCGGCUCAUUCG